rnacentral:lncRNA from 1 species
CCAUUGCAACAGCCUCUUAAACGAUACAGAUAUUGCAUAAAGCACUGUGGCUCAAGCCUACAUGUUAGUAGGAUAAUACUUAUUGGUCUUCUGUGCUUUCCGUUUUUCUUUUCUUUUUGAGUAAGAAAUGCAGACUAGGGCAACAAUGAACACAAAAUAGCAGCUACCUAGAUUUGAAAUGCUUUCACAAAAAUAUUUGGAUAUAUUAUGCAGCAUUUUACAAUCAUAAUCAUUAUAAGGUAAAAUACCCAUAAUUUAUUUGCUUCAGCUUAGAACACAAGAGGUAGAAAACGUCCAUACCACCUUGUCUCUAUGAACGAAUGGCUCUGUUAGAAGGGGCGUUAUUCCGCGUCCAUUCGAGCAUGUUAAUCUGGGUCCAAGCAGCCAUCUUGAUUGUUCACCUCAGCUCCAACACUUCACAAUGUAUUAUUAUUAUUAUAAAUUUUUAAAAAAACAUAUAGAAAACAAAUUUCCUACAAUUUCGGUUUUUUUUUGGCCUUUAUUUCACAUAACCCAAAAAAUUUCUUAAGUAGGUCAACACAGAUCAAUUAGCAAUUUGCUUUCACCUCUACCUUCUCCCUCAACGUUUCUCCUUUCUCAACUCUCUUGUGGCAUUCCCUUCAUCCUUACCAGAACUCAAGCACAGAUCAUAAGUUAAACGCUCAGCACUAAACAGCAGUGAGUGAAUCAGUGCACUUCAAAAUUUAACAAACAUAACCCAAAAGUUACCAUGGUCUCAAUGAAUAACAUCCUAAAGUGAUUGAUUAUAUAAUAAUCAUGAAUACUUCAGAUGCAAACUCCCGAAUACAACAUCACUGUUUAGACAUGUACGCUAGUCAACAUCCAUAAGCAGUUGCAGAUAAUGAAAGCUCAGAUGUGUAAGAUUAAUAUCCAUAGCACAAAAUCACUGCUUAAAGGUCCCAAAAAGAAAAACCACUAAAGCAGAUUGCUCAAUGUCAAUUGGUCAAUCAACAACAUAGAAGUGCAAAUAUUUGCCAGGUGGAAAAGACGAAAUAUUCUGGAUAUCCUAUUUAUAUAAUAUUUCAAAUUAUUUACAGAAUUACCUUUUUUCUCCAAAAUUUUAACUCCAUUCGAUGACAGAUAUACAUGAAAAUUUUACAUAAGCAGUACUUUCUUGGUCAAACUAUCAACUCUUCUUACUUUAAAGAAGCUACCAGUGUCAUAUGAACUGCAAAUGCUCUUUCACAAAAAUGAUCGCCAUUUUGUGGUGAAAGGACAAAAAGGGAAGCAGUAUCACUGCUACAGUUCAGGGAUCUGACUACACAAUUUACCUCAUAAUUUUGCAGCAGAAAUCUGCCAGGAUCAAUCAAACCUUAUUUGAGUACCGCUGACCAAUAAAGGGCUACAAUGUUGCAUUCUGACUAGCUACCUUCUGUAAAUACCUGAAACAAUUGACAUUUGCUGACAAAAUCACUCUCAAAUUAGAUGAUCUCCAUCAUGUAAACACAAUAAGAGAUAUAUUUCUAGCGUUGCAAAAACACCAAGAGGGAAAAAAGGAAAAUUAGGAACAAGAAUCACACAAGUCAGGAAACCAAUUUAAGAAAAAGAACUUUUAGAUCUUCCUUAGGAAGCAUACACAAGUCACUUGUACAAAGAACAAAUAAAAAUCGCUAUAACUAGUUACUCUAAUAGCAUUCCCUUUAAGGGAGUUUCAUUAAAACGUGCUGCAAUUGCUGAAAUACAAUUGUACAGAAGUAGCGCACAUGACUUCUGUCAACACUUCCUAUCCAAGGGAUUAUCAAACACAUUCCAGUAUAGAAGGCUUAUAAUGUUAUGCCUUGAAAACAGUUCUUUUUGGGUGAUAAACAAUGUUUCUCAAGGAAAUUAUGUAGCCAAGAGAGAGAUCAGUAAAAAAAACUCAAAACCUAUCAAACAUUUCACAUCAAAAGGCUGUUUGAUAGUAUUAUCUCAACAAGCAAUAAAGGAGGAUGGAGAGAUAGAGGUGAUAGAAUCUAUUUCCUAAAUUUUGAACACAUUACACCUCCCAUCCAUGGGCCAAUAUUGAAUAGCUGUUUACAAAUGCAUCAAUCAAUAGACAGGAAUCUUCGGCCCUAGCUAACUACCAGGACUAAGAUACAAUGUGAUCAAACAUAAGAUCUAUAGGCAUUGGACGAUUUCAAUAUGAGCUGCAGUUUGAUAUUCGGAAAAAGGUCAUAUUUGCCACUGUAGUAUUAAAUAUUAGUUAUAUAUACCUUCCGUUAUAACCAAAUACUCAAUCAGAUGUGAAUGAAUGAAAGAGAUUUGUGCCUUUUUAUUGUCUAAGUCUAAUGCAAAAUGGUCUCUAAAAGGUAACAAAAUUAAGCAUUACUUUUCAUUCUUUUCAGUUGUUCUACAUGUUUCAGGCAAGUUCAAGUUACACGUCUAACAGAAGAGAACUAGUUCUCUUAGAAAAAGAGCAAUACUUGUCAAAGUACAAAAUAAGAUGAUAUUAGAUGCCAUCCCUCUCAGGCUAAACUUCAUUCAAUUUUGAGAACAGGGGCAAAGAUUCCAUCAACAACAUGCUUCAAGCAUUCUCCAUUCUAGUUUGGAUUUUCCUCAAACAAGGACCCCAUUAUUGCUAACCCUCCUCUCUAAGAAGCAAAAAACAACUAUAGUCAUCCUUUCUUUCUCUUAAGAGUCUGGUCGUCUUUGGGCCUUUCCGGCAUAUCCAGGAGGGGAAAGGGGUCUCUUGGUUUUUCUUUUUGGGUCUCGUUGAUGGAUUUUUGGUUCCGGGAAGAUGGGUUAUUUCUAAGGGUAUGGGUUGGCUAAUCACCCGGAUUAACAGAUGACCUCCAUGUGUUAUUUUGAAGGUGGAUCCAAGUUUUCCGUUAGUGGGAGCCGGGAGGGGUAUUUGUGUUCAAAAGUGUAAUGACGAGGGUAAUUAACGUCGAGUAUAUAUAACUAAUAUUAAAUAGUACAAGGGUAAAUAUGACCCUUCCCGUUUAACAUUUAUAUAGAACCUAGGCUCUCAAGCUGAAAGCAUGCAACCCCACAAAACACCGUAAUAAUCAUUUUGUAACACUAACACAUCACACAUCAUUUGAUACACAACAUGACACGGACAUACACACUGAGAUAGCCUUUAUUAUGUUACAUCACAAACCCAAAUCUUACAGAGACAAUACGACACACCCUAUGUCAUGAUUUUACCAUGCAAUAUUAACAAAUUUCCACCCCAAUAAUAAAAGCGAGUGAAUCAUUGGGCCUAUCUCACAUAACGAGUCAUACAAGGGCGAAGUUCAUUUUGGGGCAUAGCCCAAAGCAACUUCAAACUCCACAUGAAAAAUAUUUCAAGAGUGUCCAAGUGUUAGGAUGCUGAGAAAAGUACAGCAACGAGAAGUUCUGACAGAUGAAACUAAAUCAGCAAAGUUACUACUAGACCAGCCCAUUAUUCUAUACAUUCCAAGACAUCAUUUUUUAAACUGAGCGAACACGUCAAGAAGUUCAUCGUUUCCUACUAAAGCAAACUUUGUCUCAUGCCCCAAUAAACCCAUGCACAACACAACUUUAAACUAGAGCAGAACAAAAUCUUAAGGCACCUAUGAGAUUAAAAAAGGCUUACGGUGCCUACUGAAACACACAAGUAGGUCUCUUUCAUUAGCCAGGACCUGCAAUUUGUUGCUUGAAGCAACAACUAAUUUCAUGCACUAUGCUGCUCCGCAAACAAUAAUAGAUACUUCUAUACCAAAUUAAGGACUUCUGCACCAAAUCUUACCCAUGAAAAUAAACAUACACAGCAAAAUAUGCAUGCUCAAGAAGCACGUUAAAAUUUUGAUGUGUUUCCAAUAGCUGUGCUGCAUCUGCUUACACAAGUAAGGGCAUGGCUGACAUGCUCCCUCAGUGAUACUAACUUAAACUUUUCCACAGAGCACAUGUAGAUAUUAGAGAAAGUUAACAAGCUCUUUUGCCAACUGAAUAUUGAAUGGUACUUUUCCAUCUAGCUUCACACACAUCUUCCCUUCAUAUACACAUUUGAAUAUAAAUGCUAAAAAGCACAUCUCUUUCAGAGUUCCCACACCAAAAUGUUGUUAUUUCACUUAGAGGUCGUUUGGUUGAAGGGAUUAGGAAAAACAGUCCCGGAAUAAAAUCUCACAUAAAAUAAUACAAUAUUUGGUUGGAUGGAUUAAGAAAAUAAUUUCUGCAUAACUAAUGCAGCGUUUGGUUGGCGUAUAAAAAAAAAUCCCUAUACAACUAAUGCAACGUUUGAGUGGUGGUAAUAAAUAAUACUCCCUCCGUCCCAAAUUACGUGUGACUCUUUCUUCUUUGGUUAGUCCCAAAAGAAUGACACCUCUCUAUAUUUAGUAACAAUUUAACUUUAAAAUCUCCACUUUAUCCAUAAUGAGAUGAUUUAUACCCACACAAAUAUCUAUAGCUCAUUUUAAACCACAAGUUUCAAAAGUCUUCCUUCCUAUCUUAAAACUCGGUGCCCAGUCAAACACCGUCAAAUAAAUUGGGACGAAAGGAGUACACGCAUAAGUUAUUUGAGAAUCUAGGUAUUAUUUUAUGUGGAGUAUAAUGUGAAAUAAAAUUACGUGUAUCAGCAAUGCAGCAAUGCAGAGACAAAAGUAUUGAAAGAAAAAAAUACCUUACCAAAAAAACAAAAAAAAAAAGGUAUUGAAAGACAAAAAUGCUCUUAAAAUAGAUAAUCUUUAAUUAUUCACUGCAUAACAAUCCCGACAAUAUUAUUCGCAGUACAACAAACAUAUCCCUGCGUAAUUAUAUUAGCAUAACUAGCAGGUGAACCAACCCCUUAAGAGUUGUUGGGAUUUCAUUGAAAUUCCAUGUUUCAAUAAAAAAUGGAAGAUAUGAUUUCGGGUGCUGUAGUCCAGGUUUGGUUCUUACCAUCCCCAUAAGCCUGAAAGAACCCAGUUUUACUUCCAUUUUUGUGAGUCUCAAUCCACACCAUGCUCCAUACCCAAUUUCAAAAUAAAAUACUUAAUUUCAGAAUUAUCAAAGUUUGUAAUAUUAGUAUUUUUUAUUGAUGCCUAAUUUACUCUGUAAUGACCUAACCAAUUACUCUAAUCUUUACCUGGUUCAAACAAGUCAAAAUACAUUAAUAGUAUUUAUUUUUAAAUGGAACAAAUAAUACUCUUAAACAAAAGGCCACCGGUAUUUUGUUAGGCACCAUCCCUAAUCCCAUGGCAUGAGAAGUAUUCCUACUACAACCUGCAAUCAAACACCCCUCUUAAUUCCAGUAAAAUGAAGGCUAGAGAUGUCUCUGUUUAGAUCCUCCACUUGCAAAUAAUUGCUAACAGUAAAGCCUGAACCUAAACAACCAAGAAGCUGCAAUCUCAAUUAGACUAAAUCACAAACUUGCAAGAAUCAGAACCAAAUAAAAGUGCCAAUUUAGCAAACAUAUCCAUUUUCCUCCAAGUUUGGGCUUGAGGUAAGGUUGAUUGAUAACAAUUCUCCUCGAAAAUCUAGGCUGCAUAUAAAAGAUAUGGGGUCUCUCGAGAGAAACUCCAACUUCUCUCUAGAAUCUGGGAAAAGAGAAAAUAUAACAUUCACAGGUGCUCUGGCUUGGCCGGCUCUUGAAAUUGAAGCCAACAGUAGGAAAUUGGAUGCAUGCAAAGAACCACGUUUCGACUUUCACACAAACACAUACAAAGAAGGAAGAAAUUCUUGAGUACUUGUCUGGUUGGGAGCUUUUGUAAAGUGUGUCGGCUCUCCAGAAGCAGUCAGAAAUCGGGCGGCAGUAGGUUGGGGUUUAAACACUGGGUUGAAGGUGUCUCCUUUAGGUGAUACCAGAUUUCUUUUCAGACUUCAAAAGUGAACAACAAGCUACUCGGGGUCUGAAUAAAGGUCGGGGGGGGGGUAAUAACAUAAGUUUUUUUUUUUUUUUAAUGUUGUGCAUAGUUUGGCAAAAAUGAGGACACUCUUGCAAAAGCACCAAUUACCACAAGAUAGGAUUGACGAAAUCUCCCCUGAAAACCAUGAGUAGAACAAUAAAUGAUAAUCACCCCUAAACCACCAAGGCAUAUCACAUCUGUUAACCAUCAAAAUUCACAGGAUACCCAAAUAGAAGAUGCUUUCUUGUGGAAGGAUAAUGUAAUUGUCAGCAAAUGUGUGCCACUAGCAACAAAUUAAUGCUAAACCAAUCAAAAACUGUUAUCUUCUUGUAUGUGGAUGAAACUAUAGAGGUAGGUAAAGUAUUUUGAUAAGAACAAUCUUUAUGCAGCAUCUUCUUUGUGAAUCCUGGAAGAAAAGUAUUUGAAAGAAUAGAACCCACAUUCUUGAAGGCUCCAAUAGGGGUUUCAAGAACAAGAACAAGGUGGUUUUGGUGAUCCCGCUUCAACCAGCGAAAAGUGGCAAAUCUCAUACUUAUUAUAAACCAUGCUCUCUCUCUAACCGACAUGCAGAGAAAACAUAUCCAAGUAUACUAAUGUGUUCAGAAUAAGUGGAUCUGGGAGCCAACAGAACAAGAGGCACAAUCAUUCUCUGAAACAUUUGUAUGUGUGAUUAUAGGAGCUUAGUCACUCAAAACUGUCUUUUAAACCCUAUGCUGAGACCACCUUUUCUUGAUGCCAUUUCUACUCACCCUACUCUAAUUUAACUGCUACAACGUAUUACACAUUAAGAAACCUGCGCAAAUAACACUACACCAUAAAAAGAAAGAGGGGAAACACUAGAUAAAAAGCGUUGAGGCAUCGGUUUGAUUUGAGCUUCUAAGACCAGAAUUCUUUCUAGACUAGACUGCACCACAGUAACUUAAUUGGACUUGAAAUGCUUUCUCUUAAUUUCAAUGUUCAUAAAGUUACAUGAUUUAAUUCCAUUGGUUCGCCCAGAAUGUUCUAAGUAUUAAUAGUGCUACCAGAUCCAUACUUCACAAUAGGUUGAAAUGGAGCCUGUAAUUUUUGACAUUCCAUCAACUAUGCAAUAAAAUUGAGAACAGUUAAGUACUUUGCAAUUUCUGUCACAUCCAGCAGUUUUAAGAACAAGACCAGCCAAUACUAUGAAUGAUUUGAAUGCCAAAUAACAUCAGUUUCAAGGCAGUGCCAAAUGGAGGAGCUGUUUCAAUAAAUGUACGAAAUAAAAUGCUGAAAUGCCGACAACACAGCUAAUAAAAUCAAAGCAUUUCUGAUGGCCAGGUAGGCCUUUUCAGAUUCUUCAAAGAUUAUGAUUGUAAGAACUAACCAUCUGAACAGCUUAUUUUAAUACUUACUAUGUGGUAACUGCAGCUUCUGAGAAUCAGAUUACGCGAAUAAUCAGAUAAUACACUAACCAUUGUUCAAUUCUAAAAGUCAGUACGGUGGUAGCUGCAGCUUCAGAGAAUUGAUUACAGAGACUUAUCAUCACCGUAAUCUGAUAUGUAACGAAAUUUAAUUACACAUGCUUCCAUUUUUGUCCCGAAAUUUUGUUAUGAUAAUUAUUAGGCUAUAUUUUCUAAAUCAACUUCAGAUGAGGUUCCAAAUUAUAAAAUUAAACUAUCGACCAAAUAGAGAAGCGACUCUUUGCCAGCUAUGUUGGCCGGGGAUGAAAAAAUAGCCACGAAGACGGGAUACUGCAAUUUGUAGCCCAUGGGAAGAACAUGUGAAGACAUUAUUUCAAUAAAAAAACAAAUGGUAGACUGUUACUCAUUGACUAUAUCAGAUAUGCCAUUUUUAUUGUUUACAGCUCGGUUGCGGAAAACAAUGAAACAAUGUUGUUUACAGCACAAGUGAUGGUUUUCUUCAACGGAUUCCAAAGUCAAAUCUUUUAGCUCUAAAGAACCCCAUCCGAUAACAAUUUACCCAAGGAGAUUGACGCAGACUAAGAGGCCAAAAAAUUAACUCUAUAAACAGGAGGAAAAAGAUAAAAAGAAACUCCCUUCAUCCUUAUGUUUGAGUGAACUAUAUGGAGUCUCGUAGAUGUUUAAAAUAAUAGUUUGAAUUCUGUAAAAUUCAAAAAGUUGGUUACCAGAUGUCGCAUCAAAGUUGAACUAAUAAAUAUUUCUAGGUUGCACUAACUUCAGUCAUUACUCAUUAGAGGGAAAAUAAUUGCAAUUUAUGCAAUUGGGACAACUUUUUAGGGUAGAAUGAACUAAAAAGUAGACAGCCUAGGAUGGGACUGAGGGGUAAGAAAUGCAUUAAGCAGCAUGACAACAUCUCAAUAAUGGUGCAUGUUAAGAUUUUAGCUCAGCUAUUUUUUAAUUUUUUUUGGGGGUUUUUGGGGGGGGGGGGCAAUUUAUAGGACUCUUGAUACAGAUUACUGUGAAACAGUUUAAUAUCAGAAAACAAAAAAGAGAGAGAUUACUAACUUGUUACUUUUUAAGUCAGAGAGAAUUAAUGAAAUUAUUAUAUUUAUAGAUAAUAAAUAACACGAGGCAAAAUCAAAACAUUUUCACCAAGAUGAUGGAUAUUCCAAGGUAGAGAUCGGAGAAGAUGAAUGAAGGUUUGUACCUACUCCUAAUUUGCACUAUGAAUCCAAUCCUAUCCACAUAGAUGUUCUUAGCCAUGCGAUGAGGGGAUGCUUUGAAAGGUUAUGUUAAAGCCCGUCGACUUUUCUUUGUUUGCAUCAAGAGACACCCGAAGGGUCUGGCCAUAUGGUACCUUGGGAGCCCCAACCCUAAUGUUCACGUGGAUGUCCAAUUAGAAAUUUUGAAUAGAUAGGUAUCAUAAGUCUUCAACUNN